AAUGGGUCUGUGACUUAAUCUGUCAAGCAAGCUUAAGCCGUUAGGUGUAGGCGCAGCGAAAGCGAGUCUGAAUAGGGCGACGUAGUUUGACGGAUUAGACCCGAAACCCGGCGAUCUAGGCAUGACCAGGUUGAAGGUGGGGUAACACCCACUGGAGGACCGAACCGAUUAACGUUGAAAAGUUACCGGAUGAGUUGUGUUUAGGGGUGAAAAGGCCAAUCAAGCCGGGAAAUAGCUGGUUCUCCGCGAAAACUAUUGAGGUAGUGCCUCGAGUGAAUACCGUUGGGGGUAGAGCACUGGAUGGGCUAGGGGGUCGCGAGAUCUACCAAACCUAACCAAACUCCGAAUACCAACGAGUACUGCUCGGGAGACAGACGGCGGGUGCUAAGGUCCGUCGUCAAAAGGGAAACAGCCCUGACCUACAGCUAAGGUCCCCAAGUCGUGUCUAAGUGGGAAAGCAUGUGAAAACUUCCAAAACAACCAGGAGGUUGGCUUAGAAGCAGCCAUCCUUUAAAGAAAGCGUAACAGCUCACUGGUCUAAACAAGAGGUUUUGCGGCGAAGAUGUAACGGGG
rnacentral:rRNA from 1 species